UACGUAGGGGGCAAGCGUUGUCCGGAAUUAUUGGGCGUAAAGAGCUCGUAGGCGGUCUGUCGCGUCGGCUGUGAAAACCCGGAGCUCAACUCCGGGCCUGCAGUCGAUACGGGCAAACUGGAGUGUUGCAGGGGAGACUGGAAUUCCUGGUGUAGCGGUGAAAUGCGCAGAUAUCGGGAGGAACACCAAUUGCGAAGGCAGCUCGCUGGGACGUCACUGACGCUGAGACGCGAAAGCGUGGGG
rnacentral:rRNA from 1 species